CAACUCGGCUCGAAAAAUUCUAAAAAUAUUUUAAAUAUGUAUCAUCGGACUGUUUUUUCGGCAUAAAAUUUGUUGAAGUUAUCCUUCAGGUUACGACUGGUAGAAGUUGUAGCGUGGAGGAAUUAAGCUUCAUCUCUUAAUUAAUCCAUUCCCCCAUUCGGCACGCAUGUUGGUAUGGAAACUACUCUUUCGAAAAAGCACACUUGGAACAUUGGACGCCACUCACGACACUAUUGUUUUCGCCUAUUAAGCUAACACUUGGACUAAUUUUGCUCAGUAUGUCCAUAUACUAACGACGACAUGGAUAUUGUUGAUUACGACGCAGUUCGAGGUGGUACCGGAAAUUCCCUUUUGGCGUUAUCCUGCGGAUCGCGCCUCCACUUACCUUUAGUAGAUUAUUGAAUACAUUUCGGGAAUGCGGCCGAAAACGGCUCCAAAUUCGCAAUACGAAGAUAUUCAAGGUGGUACCGACGCCCACUACUCCUACUCCGUUUUGUUGGUGUCCGACGGCUCGCACCUGUACACGGUAGUUGCUGAAUCAAAAGGAGUUUACAUUUUGUAUUGCAUGAAUAAAAACCAAAACGUUCGCCCUAAAA